UUGCAGGCUCCCGUGCUGGUGCAUCGAACUGCUUUCCUCACUUUCGAUCAAUCGUUGCUCCACGAGUUGACGUUGGAUGCAAAAUGUGGGUUCCUGUGUUGCAUACCUAUUGCGACGGAAAUGUGUGCCUUCGGUAAUCCCUUCCAUCACGGCGUCCUCUCGGAUGCUCGGUUGGACCGGAUAGUGGGGCUCGUGUUCCACGAACACCAUCUCAUUCGAUCGUGCUCGGACGGAUCACGAGCGCCCACUCGUUCUCUCGGAUGCGGAACUUUCUUCAUGGGUAUGGGGUCAUCGGCCCUUCUUCCCAAUCGUAAAGCGUUUAUCGCUUCAUCGGAAUGACGCUCUCGCCUUGUCUUUGAUCGAAGCGAAGCUCUCGGGCUUGGCUUCGAAUCAUGCUWGGCGGACGUCGUGAAGGAAUGC
rnacentral:misc_RNA from 1 species